CUGUAUGCAGAUGUUCAAAAGCUGGCCUUUUCAUGGAACAUGAGUGAUUCUUCAGGGUGCCCAAAGGAAGAGCCACAAACCACAUCCCAUGGCAUAUCCCCUGACAGCAAGAUCUGGCUCAGGGCCAUCAGAAGGGCGAGAUGAACAGGAAAAGGGAAUUGAAUGCAGUGAAAUUCUAUUCUUCUAUUAAGAGACUGGAGUCCCCUUUAUUCCUUCAUGUGUGCUAGGUGUAAGGAGUUGGUGUGUCAGCUGACAACCGUUCAUGGAAACCUCACCAAGAAAUGUCUGAUUUUCUAUAGAAUUUAAAGCCCCAGACUGAUCUAUUUUAGUUUCCAGCACAUGAACUUACUAUGUUUGGCCUCAGGAUGAGAUGCAGCACACUGACAUGCUCAAUAUCUGCUGAACAGAUGGACGGAGAUAUAAAACCAAAACCUGGACACUUCACCUGCAAGGAGACCUUCAGCCUUCAAGCCAUGGCUCAUGAUCCCAAGAAGCAUCUGAAGCAUGUAGCCGAUUCGAAGCAUUGGAAGCUGGAUAAACUGGCCAGUGUGUUUGCCCUCAUUCAUCUACUAACCUCCCUAAGCUGAGAGAAUGUCUCCCUCUCAUCUUUUUCUGAGGAACAGACUUAAGUAUGUCCUAACAGGAGGUGAAGUAAAGAUCUGUAUGCACCAUUUUAUUAAUAUUGAUGGCAAAGUCUGAACUGAUAUAACCUACCCUGCUGGUUUUAUGGAUGUCGUCAGCAUUGACAAGACUGGGGAGAAUUUCCAACUGAUCUAUGAUACCAACGGUUGCUUUGCUCCUCAUCAGAUUACACCUGAGGAAGUUAAGUAUAAACUGUGCAAAGUGAGAAAGAUCUUUGUGGGAACAAAAGAAAUUCCCCAUAUGGUGACCAUGAUGCUCACACUGUCGGCUAUCCUGAGCCCCUCAUUAAAGUGAAUGACACCAUUCAGAUUGAUUUGGAAACUGGAAAGAUUACUGACUUCAUCAAGUUUGACACCGGUAAUCUGUGCAUGGUGACCAGAGGUGCUUACCUGGGAAGAAUUGGUGCGAUCACCAAUUGAGAGAGACACCCUUGUUCUUUUGAUGUAGUUCAUAUGAAAGAUGCCAAUGACAACAAUGACCUUUGCCACCUGGCUCUCUCUCUGGUAUUGGCAAAGGCGACAAACCAUGGAUUUCUCUUCCCUGUGGAAAGGGUAUCCACCUCACCAUUGCUGAAGAGAGAGAUGAGAGACUGGUGGCCAAACAGAGCAGUGGGUAAAAUAGUCUUUAGGUGAUGUGUUUGGAAAUCUUUAGUUAAAGAUAAUAUAGCGUGAUAACAACAACAAAAAAGAAACUGCCAGCCUAUUUUCCCAAGUGGCUUUUAUUAUUUCACAUUUCCACAACAUAUGAGAGUUCUGGAGGCUCUACAUCCUUGCCAACAUAUGGUAUUAUCCAUCUUUUUAAUUUUAGCCAUUCCAUUGGGCAUAUAUAGGAAUUCAUCAUGUAUUCCAUUGUUUCUCUCUUAUUCAUGUUGAGAUCCCAAUGGCAGUUUCAUUUUCAUCUCUUUGUAGCUAAUCUAUCCUUUCCUAUGAUAGUUUUUAAGAUUACCUUUUCCUUUUAUGUUCUGAGGUUUCACUGCAAUAUGUCUGGAUUUGUUUGUUUCCCUUUAUGCUGCCUUUUCAGUUUGAGUAUUUAAUUUUGGAAAACUCAAUUUGGAGUAAUUCAUAAUUAUGGCUGUAUGUUCACUGUUGGGGGGAAUUUUUAUGAGUUGGAGCUUAAGGUGUACUGGUUGGUAUCGGUUUUUUUUCUAUGUGGGUAGUUUCUUACUGGAUUCUGACAGGGUUAUGUGAGAUUUCUAUAUAAAUUUCUUGGCACAGAGUUGAUACACUGUGAGGGCACCUGGGAAAAUUCUACCUCAAAUAUGUGGAAUGCUUUGUCUAGAGGUUCUGAUUUCUGAAGGUCAACUGUUUCUACCCAUUUUCUGGGCAAGCUGAGAAAUAGGGCUGGUAGGUCCUAAUUUUCCAAGCUCUUGACUUCACCAAAAAUCCAGUGCCAGUUUCCCCACUAUGAAAGGAGCCCGUGUUCUUGGCUUAUACCAUCACGCAAAUACUAAAACUCCAGCCUGUAGGGUGUGUUUCUUUUCAGGUUAUAAGCCUCCCCCGCCCCCGUUAGAUUCCCUCUAACGUUAGUGGUUUCCUCCCUAUUUUUGACAUCUGAAAUUUCCCCCAUUUUGCUCUUGAGCUUGGCAAUCUAUUAAUUAUGUUUAAAAACAUUUUUUCCCCUGUCAUUUCUAUGUUUUGUGUGGAAAGGCAGUACUCAUUACCCCUUAGCUCAAUCUGCCAUAUUGAUUGUAAGUUUCUCCUUACUCUUUAAACACAUUGUAAUUUGGCUUCUUCCCCAGUACUCUAUUGAAAAUGUAUCUACCAAGGUCUCAAAUCACCAAUGAAUCACUAGAUUCAGUGGACAUUUUCCAGUGUUCACAGCAUAAUGCUAUUAUGAUGGUGUCUUCAUUUCUCCUGCUUCAAGACUUUCUCCCUCUGGGCUUCUAUAAAACUGCUUCUCGCAGUUGUCCCUGCUUCCAAACUGUUCCUUCUCAGCCUCCUCUGAAGGCUAUAAAUUGGUGAUUUCCAAUCUCUGGCUCUACCCAGAUGUGUCUGUUGGGUUUUAACCUGUGUGUAUCUCCCUGGCUACUCAAUAUUUCUUUGCAAUGUCCCACAACAUUUCGACUUUUUCAAAAUGGAAUAAAAAUAUCCCUAAAUCUAUUUUAAGAUAUGAAGAAGAGUAGAUAGAGUGUUAUUUCUCUUGAUCGUGGUCUUCAAAGGAGAAAGGUUACCUGAAUGUAGAAGAGUAGUGGUUUGGAUAUGGUAGUGAAGAAUUAGAUGAAUUCUCACCACAGCCUCUGGCUUUUAGGUACAGAGGCCAUAGCAGAUGAAUAUCCUCCAAAGGAGGGGGAUCUGUGGAAUUUUGAGACUUUGAAGAAAGCCAAGUCUCAGUUAAGAGGAGCUGGAAAAAUCUUCAGGGUUGAGAUGAAGCUGAGUUGUAAUUUAUUGACAAAGCGAGAUUUAGAAUGUACAUCUGAGAGAGUAAAGUAGGUAAAAGGAGAGAAAUUAUAAAGAAGCAAAAACUCACAGAGCAUUUAUUGAGCUUCUCGAGGGCAAGUACCAAUCAUCAGCAUCUUUCCAUCCUUAGAAUCUAUCCCAGUGUCUGGUAUAUGCUAGUCUCUGAGCAAAUGUUUGUUAUGAUAAAACGAGACUGUUGUAAAUGGCUUUUAAUUAUUUUCCACGAGAGGGAGUAACAGAUCCUGUUCUCUGAUGGUAAGAGGAAAUGAGAAAGAAGGAUAUUAACUUUGGGCAUUUAGAAGGACAUAACCCAAUUCUACAACAUUUAUAAAUGCCUGUUGAGUUAACCACAGUUGAAUGCAACACCCACAUCUGUGCAUGCUUCCCACCCCCCAGUCGCAUAGAUUCUAAUUGCGGCAGAUUUUUC
rnacentral:lncRNA from 1 species